CACGACGAUGGAGCCCGUGUAGAUGAGAAAGUCCCCGUAGAAGCGGCCGUCCAGCUGCAGAUAAACAACCAUCUGGAAAUUUGCUGAAACAGCUGAGCUCAAAACCGUAGGAGUUUACAAGCCACACAAGUGAGGGAGAGAGAGCUUCUGAGGAGCUGACGCCGGAGACGACCCCGAGAUGUCAGAGAGAGAGAGAGAGAGAGAGAGAGAGAGCGCGAGAGCGAGCGAGCACAACCCCGAUCACAACCCCCCGAGUACCCCCACGAGAUACCAGUUCCCUGUGGCCCCGUUUCCCUCUUCCCUUUUGUCUGCUGACCCUCAGAAUGUUGAAUAAACCCCCCCCCUCUCU